rnacentral:lncRNA from 1 species
GUUCGGCUGACUGCUAGCCUACCGCUCUUACCAUUUUUUCCCAAGACAGAGGCAUGGUAUAACCUGAUCUGUAAUGAGGUGGCCCAGGAGGGAUGGGCCCAGUCGGCCUUGACAGCUUUCAAAGCUUUCCCUUCAAGGCUAUGGCUCAAGUGUGCCAGGGGAAGAUUGUCGACACCUCCGUUUUCCCACAGAGGCUAGCGGAAGCCAUGCAGGGCUGCCAUUAGACUCCCUGAGCUGCGGUUAAAUUACUUGAGGAGCGGUGCCCACUCCAGAAGCGGAUGCACUUAGACUUCCGUUUGUUUCCUCAAAUCCGGUCACGGGAUUUGUGUCUUCCUCGGAGAGGCAUCCAGAUCUGUUACUUCCAGUUCACCGCUCUCGCAGCACCGUUUCAAAUGCGCUUUGGGGCGAAUGUAGAUUCUUGCAUUAAUUUUAUAUUGUGAGCGACAACUAUGAGCCAGGCUCUGAGCUAAAUGCUAGGAAUGAGAAUACACCCAGCCUUGCAAGAGCAUUUUAAUUGUUGUCAACUGAACACAAAAGUGAAGCCCACAACUGAACUUCCAGAAGGAGCUGUUUUGAAGCAUUCAGGAUUUUGCCUCAUCAAGGAUGAUACAAAACUGAGUAAAGAGGAGAAGUUUCAGAGAAAACAACUUCAGCAUAAGCUUCAUAAGGAAGAAGUGGAAUGAAAUGCCAUAAACUCUAAUACACUGAAAUCAUGAGCAUCACCAGAAGUUAUGUGGUGCGGAUCAAAUCACAUUAUCCCUAAAUAUAUAGCAAAUGACUUAACA